ensembl:lncRNA
CACCUGCGGCGCUGCUGGGGGUCCGCGUGAGCUCCGCGGGGCUGCGCUCCCAGUCGCGGAACGGCGCUCCCAGCAGCGGGACGGCCGCGCGCCGCUCCUCAGCCGCUCGAGCUGUGGGGGCGCUGCGCCGCGCCGCGCCGGAGGGGGAACCUCGGCUGAGACCCGGACGUCUGGAGCGGCACGCUGAGCUGUGCUGCUCAACUCGGUGUAGCUGUUCCUGCUGUGAUCUUCAGUGAGCAUCACUGUGAUUGCUGACAGCUCGUACAAAUAGAACAUUUCAACUGCUUCUGUUAGAGCUGAAUUCUAUGUAAAGGAGAAGUGACUAGAAACCCCAGACUGGGUCCCAGGUCUUGCUUAACUUUGUAAUGCACGCUGACUUGCUGACGCGACUCCAGUUAAGGUAUGGUAUGAAUCAGGAGCUCCAACAGCCGCUGCGGAAUGAGCGCGUUCACAUGAAGUCAUCCUGCAGCAGCUAUUGCAGAAUAGUCAACUGCUCUGUGUAAGCAAGCCCUAAAAGCCAAUCCUGGUCCCAGCGGCUGUGUGACUAGGUAAGGGAGGUAAAGGGCACAAGAAAGGCACCCUUCUGUCAGCUAUGGAUGGGCUGGGAGCAAAGAAACCCGUGCUGCUCAGGGCUGCCUUGCAGGCCGCUGCUUUUGGAGUGGUUUGGUUCAGGACUUUCUGCUUUGAUGCCUUUGAUUUCUGAGACUGGCCCUGCGUACGAAGCCGCAGACUGUUUCCUCAUUUAGCCAGUGCAGUGUCUUCACCUGAUACCGAAACAAGAUGGAAGGAAUUGAAUGUUUCCCCCGGUGUGGCUGGAAUUGAUCUGCUUUUAACCCAUUAUCUACCGAUGGAAUAAACAGAAGCAGCUCCACUACUACCAGGAUGGAGAACAACCACCGACUCUUAGUACCGGAAACAGGAAGAUCCAGAAGGGGUUUUUGUUCCUACGUUACAAUUUUUAUCUUUAGUAUUCACAUCAUACUCAAAGUAAGAAUAUUUAUAUGCUAAAAUAAACCCCUUUUUGCUUUGUGAUACUGGAUUGAGCCUGCCCACCUUCUUCCUAUCACAGCUCUGACCCAUGGAGAGAGCCAAGUGGUGGAUGUGGAGGUCAGAAGGGGCCCUCCGAAUGCAGGGGAUGCACACAGAGCAAUCCUGCAGCCCGUCCUGAAGCCGGUGCAUGGAUGAGUGGAUCUUUCUCUCAUGUGCUAUGGGAACUCUGCCUAUAUAAAUGUCUGACAAACUCUACCAGUGCUUUAUAACCUUGUGUCUUCUACCUUCUGGUAAGCCACAAUUUCCUGCUUAUGCAUCUCUGUGGAAGAAGCCCUUCAUAUAUGUGACUGCAUGUGGUGAAUAGGAGAGCAAGAAGAGUUGGUGUUAUUUUUAUCCUAUCUGUUCUCAAAACAGCUCUCCCAGUCACACACCCCUCCAAUAGCCUUGGAGUGGAGGGCAGGUGCAGAGCCCUGUGGGGACACUUGGUACUUGGCCAGGGGCUGGCAGGCAGGAGGGCUCCUGCAUGCCCUGCAGGUGGGAUUCCUGCUCCAUUUCACUGCAGGGCAUUCUGGGCAGACCUGUGAGUCCAAUUCUGUGUGCCCAGGCCAAAGCAUUACGAUUUCAAGGACAAAUUUGGCUGUUCCUUUUGAAACUUCACUGUCAUUUAGCACCUCCAGUCUGGCUUGGAAAAAUGCAGAAAUUCCUAUAAUAAAUGUGUUUUGAAAAGUAUACACAGGCAAUCAUGAUUUUUUCAGUCAGUCUCAAGUGAUGCCAUCCACUUCUACUCUGCUUAAGUGCUGCCCUGGACUUCUUGAAGUUGCCAUCCCUGGCAUAUGCUAAGUAAGUAGUAUGAACAUUUCAAUAGACCUUGCCAAAACAAAGCAUCCCCUUCUGGCAUGCAGAUAAUUCUGCAUGGAUAGCAGAAGAUGUACUAAGCUUGAGCCACUGUUCAUAUUUCUUUGCACAUCAAAGCAAUUGCACCAGCAUCUUUCAAGCACCCAUGUUCCAGGCUGCAAGGAGUCUCUGGCUGCACAGGGCCUUUCUGAAUUGCCCUGUGAUGUUAUCGACUGCUUUCAGUGCACAACAUCUGCCUGGAAUAAUUUAAUGUGGUGCUUUCAGUCAAAUAGAAAUUGCAUGUCAGCCACAUGAUCUGAAUUAGACCAGUGCAGGAAAUAACAUUUUGCAGGCAAAUUUGGUGCCUUCUUUCACUGGAGCCCUUUGGUACUUGGCUGUAGUUUUCGAUGAAUAGCUGUUUCAUGGAGGAAAUAUGGUAAUUAAGGCAAACUUUCUUCAUGUUUUAAACUACUUUCAGCAAAACUAGAAAUCCAAGCUGCCAAGCAACCUUUAGUUUUAGCAGAUUACUGCUGGUCUGUGUCUUUUUAAUUAGGCCAGAGUCAAUCAAGUUUAAUUAAGAGAAUUGGUGGGACAACCAGGACAGCCUUCCCAAGAGCAGGACUCUGUUCUGGGGCCCAGUUGGUACUGGUUGAGAUUUGGUUCUCUAUAAAGACAAAGAAAACAAAAUAAAACCUCAGCAAAAUGAAUAGAUGUCACGAGUCUCAAGCACACAGACAAAGGACAGGGUUUGACCAUCAGUCUGUAGGCAGAAGGGCUGUCACAGACAGCCAGUCACAAUAUAUUCUGAUCUUUUGGUCAGCACAGAUGCUACCUGCAGUACCAAGCUUUGGCUCUGUGGCGAAUGAGAAGCAAAUCUACGGAUUCCAGUGCUUGUACUUCCAGGCUGUUAUGGCUUGCUCUUAAAUGGGGAAAGGAAGCCAAAGGAAAUCAUGUGCAUUGGAGUCAAAUACCAUUUUUAGGAGUGGGAACUGCAUGAGUAUUUCACCAGUGAUUAAAAUAGCCAGGGACCAGGGCACACUAAUGAUUAAUGAUCUCUUUCUGCAAGCUGAGGACAUGUCCUACAGAAUCUGGCCCUCCUGAGAGAUAGUCAUGAAGUACAGUUUGGCGGAGCGUAUUUUAAAGGCAUGAGCAAAAAUUGGUAGGUUAAUUGUUGUUUUUUAUGUUGUGGAUCUGCUGUGUCAUUUGGCUUGAAUUACUGGCCCCUAUUUCGGAAGCAUGCAGUACAUGGAAGUAGCCCUUACCAACCUGGUGCAGCCACACCACUGUCCCACUCCCAGCACAGGCAGGAGUGCGGGCUGAGAAGUUACACUAAGCUCACUGCUGCAGGUGGAACAAGGCCAUCUACACAAUUAUUCUAAAGCCCCUUUUUUUUUGACUUACCUCGUUUGCCUUCUGUGAAGGCGGCUCUCCUUAGCAGGACCCCCAGCACUCCUGAGGUCACAUCCUGCAUGCUGCAUUACGGGGAACUUGGAGGCCUGGACUGCACCUUGUCCCCAUGGCAGCUCAGAGCACAGCCCCACUCGGGAGGCCCCACCAGCCAUCCUCCAUCCCUUCACUACAUGGCAAAGAUUACUGCUGCAGGAAGGAGGCCAAGCAAGAAGCUGUGUGAUCCCUAUCAACGCACCUGCCCUCUUCCAGCAUCACACAGACACCACUGAUUUGUCCAUUAGAGAUGUCAUUUUUCCUGCACAGAAACAGCAGUACAAGGCGUUACUACAAUCAAACUUCAGUUUCAAGUGAGGAACUUCUGGGAGUUCCUCUUCUUUUUUUUUUUUUUUUUUUUCCAGCUGCAGGGAAGGGUGAAAACUAUCAGCUAUACAAAUAUUACAGUUUAUGCUGUUAAAUAAAUCAUAAUUUGUCAACAGGUAGCUGAAUUAUGGCCAAUUCCACUGAGAGCCAAAACUGAUCUUCUUUCCCAGUGCUAUUGUAUAGUAACAGCUGGCAGAACACUGUCAAGCAAAGCUGUGCUGUGCUAAGCUGAUAAAUAAACCAGUGAGCCUCAGUGUAGGAGCCACAUCAUCUCAUGGAGAGACUGCAGCUCAUGCUGGAAUGUGUUGCACAAAUGCUUGUUAACAGUCUACACACAGGCAGAGAGUUGCUUUAUGAAAAGGUGUUAGAAAGAUGUGAUUUGAAUAAGACACAGCAUUCCUAGGGUUAUCAAAAGAACCAGCCAGGUUUCAGGUCUCAGAGUACUAAAGCACAGCAGCAAGCCAGCCAAUGUUAGCAUUUCUUGUUCAUUCAAAUGGAGAGUCUGGUAACCGGAUUCUGGAUGAGUGGAAAGUCCCAACAAGUUCUAAGAUACAGCAAGGCAAGCCAGAAAACCAACAGAGAGAAAUGUGUUUCUAUUUGUUUCACAGCUCCCAAAUUCUGCUGGAGAGUUUUGCACUCUUCAGUUGUUUCUGAGGCAGAAGGAGACCUCCUCUGAUUGCAGAUGCUGUGUUGCUUUAAGCCAAUCAGACUACACUGUCCCGGGUGGGAGAAGGAAGGGUAACAAGUGCCAGUGCCCCAUCAGGAGAUACAGCUUCAUGCUGGAGCUCAGAGCCUCGUGCAGCCGGCAGAUAACUCUGUGUGUUUUAUACUUAACACCACUCUGGUUUUGUCCUUGCUUUGCAGGCAUUUUAUUUUUAUCGUGGGUAAGAACAGGAACAUGUGCAUUUCUGUGAAAGGCCGAGCACAGGGCUGCAAGCUCCAUCUCAGUGCAAAUAAUACUUUGGCAGGAAACCUGCAGGAGAUUAAAUUAGGGACCUAAAGACUGAAUAUUAAAACAUUUCCAACUUUUGAGUUCUUUUAAAUAAGCAGCUACAAAACAAAGCAGUCUGACAAAAUUAGCAGGACCGAAGUGCUAAAGGAACCCACUAAGGGUCAUUUAUUUGUUGAUGCAGAUUUAAGAGAACUUUUUAAGUUAUUUGUAUUAGUAGCUGUGUAUGUCAACAUGCUAUUUCCUCAAUGCAUUUUGAGUCCAGAUUAGCUAAAGUUUUAGGUGUUGGCAGACUUGCUACAAUAGAAGGGAAAUGCCACUGGAAUAACUUUAAACAUGAUCCAAUCCCUGAUGAUUCAUUGGAUGUGUUAAAAUUUCCUUUGAGACCAUGUAAGUAAUGCAGGGACUGGAGUGCAGAGUGCCUGUGACUCAGCUCUCUGCGAGGCAAAGGGAGGAUGUCAGAAUUGCUCACUGGGACUGGAGGAAUCUCAUUUAUCUAUUUAUAGGCAAGGCUGAGAUGAGCUCGUGCCAUUGAAGAGCUGAAUUUGCCAGUUCUCUUGGGGGGAGGAAAAGGGAAGGCCCUCCCGUUAGCUGGUGGGGCUGCUUCCAAACCCAAGGACUCUGGCCAGCUGCAUUUUCUUGCCCUCGGAUGAGCAGCGUGGGGCACCUGGUGCAGACCUGUGGGAGAGCAGAGCAGCCCAGCCCCCGGCACCAGCUGCUGCUCAGCCCCUGCACCAGAGGGGCUGCAGGACCAGCAGGUCCCGUGCCCUGAGGUCAGGGGGCUCUUCCCACUGCAGGGGCAUCACUGCAGCAUGCGUGUAUGUCAGCCAGCUUCAUUUAAGAGGUGCCGGUUAGAGGCCGCUUUGCCAAAAGCCUUUUUACUGCUUCUCUUCAAAGAGGUACUGCAUUAUUCCCCGUGAGUGGGCAUUCUGCCUAACAGGGCAUCAGAAAAGGAAAGCUCCAGGGGACAGAGCGGGGAGCCGAGCACACUGCCUGCUUCCAGCCUCUGCACAGCCUGCGAGCCACUGGCAGUGCUGGGACAGCCAUUCCUGAAGGUGUGCUUUCAGCCAUGUAUAUUUAGGUUUGGGAGGUGAAAGACGGUCACACUGUGGGUAAAAAGCAAGAGCUCAAACCCACAGCGAAAUGUUUUAGUGACACUGCUUUUCUGGUACAGCUGGCACUUAGCUGUACAGCAGCACACACUGCGGCCUGGUCUUCUUACUAAGAAAGAAACCACUCCAUAUAGGCACCACACACCGCACUGCUCCAUCACUGGGAACACCUUUGUGGUGUUGGUCCGGGCUGUUCUUUCCAUUCCCUGCAUUUAGCUGCUGUGGCUAAUUCCCUUCCCAAAAAAGAAGUUAUCUAGGAACACAGGGCUCUGGAUUACUGAUCCAGCCUCCUACUGUUACAUUCAAUUACAUCAUAUCGUGCUUUUUGGCAGGUUGUCCCAGCACUUCAUUUAAAAUUUUCAGCCUUAAUAUCAUUUGUUCUUGUGCCAGCAUCAUAAUGUAGUUUAAACAAUUCUCUUUUUUCUCUGAUCUUUACCUAUCAGAUAUAUUUACUGAAAACAAUCCUAUCUCCUCUAGCCUUUGUUUUGAAAAACUAAACAAAUGAAACUCUUCUAGUCUCCUCUUGUUCCAAACCCUCUGAUCAUCCUCAAUGCCCUUCUCUGUACCUGCUAAUCUUCCUCGAACAUGAGUGAACCUGUACCUUCUAGGAUUGUGUUUGCUUCUCCAUAUCAGAUUGGUGGCUCACAGUCAUCCCUGGGAGCGAAUUAUUCUCUGUGGUUUUUUUUCCACCCCCCUGCCUUUGUCAUCUUCAAGUGAGUAAUAUGAUAUUCUAGUUAUUAAUUUCUAAAUGCAUGUCUUAAUACUUUCUCUAUUCUAUUUCAGAUGAAUUCUGUCAUUCACUCAUUGCUGAUUGAUGUUCCGAUCAUCCUCUGUAUUAACAAAGCCCGUGUCCUCAGCAGAUUUCUUUACUACAUUCCUACUGCUGUGCCAGACUCGUUAAUGAAAGAAGCAAGAGUGAGCUCAACACUGACUCCUGAGGAGUUCCACUUACUGACUGCCUCUGUCUGGCAUUUCUUCUCUGCUCAGAGCUCCCCUUUCCUCUGCACUUUAACAGCUCUCUGGGACUACUAGAGCAAGAACAUGGCUUCUUAUGCAGUAUAGAAAAGCUUAUGAGGAGCAGCAGGUGAUUGAUGCCUCCUGAGGCCAGUGCCAGCUGCACUUAACUGCUGCUCAAGGCCAGUGUUAAGGCAAACAAAAGCACUUAGGCCACCAGCAGCGUAUGCUCACCUGUUUGACUUUGCAGAGAAGUAAUCACAGAGCCAGUGCCAGCUUUGUGCCUGUCGUCUCCCAGCUGAGAGCUGUGACUGUGUGUGGCCUGAUGCAGCUGCAGAAGGGCUGUCUGAGGGCUCACAAAGCUGAAGUCCGAGGCACAAAGUUCAAGUCCAAGGUCCUGUACUGACAGUGUGUGUGGUCAAGACCUGCGUUCCUGUUGAAAGAAGGAGAGAAGGAAAGCUGGACUGCAUCAUGAGCUCUUUGUACUGGCUCUGCAAGAGCAAUUGUGCUCACUGGCAAUAUCUAUGUCUUGGACCACCCAGCAGCAUCCAGCAGCCCGGGUCGGGUAGGUGUGCUCCAUUCGUUUAGCACCAUGACUGAGUUGGGCACCUGAGGACAAAGUUAUUAAAGCAGUCUGCUCUCAAGACCUAUGUGACAGCAACUGCAUCACUGUCUGCUUUCACUGAAGUCAAUGGGACUCUGGCCACAGGCCUGAUUCCUCUCUCUCACACAUCAAUAGAUUAUCUUUCAAGUCCAUUGGCUUCUAUGAAAUUAGAGCUGUCAAGCCCUGGAUGUACACUAUGGCAUGGUUCAGCCAAAAGAAAUGAGGGACAUGAUGGAAAUUGAAACCUCUGGAAAGACUUGGCCUAUCUUGUAUGCUUAGCAAGUCAGUAGAAUAUUAAUGCUGCAUCCAUCACUCAGAGUACGUGCUUCUGGAUGCUUGGCUGACUUUGGUAAGGGGCACUUUGAGAAGGAUAAAACUGCAUUUUCAUUGCUGAGAAUCUUCCUACAACACACAAUGUGGCCCAUGGGAUACUGACAACCUACUGGUAUUGUCUUCAGAGACUACAUAGGGGCUAACACUGCUAAACUGUAUAAACAAGUGCUUACCCCUGAAUAUCACGUUAGUCCAAACAGGAUUUAUAAACACAGAGAUGGUCAGAGGUGGGCUGUCCUCCAAUCAGUCUGUGAAUCUAGAAAGAAAGAAAGAAAAAAGAUGACUUUGUAUUCUUUCAAUUACAUACGUUUCAUACAUAAUUAAAGUAAUCACAAAAACACAUGCAUUGUAUCAGUAAUUGGCAAAUUAAGAAUUCGGUCACGGUUGUUCAGGAACUUACAGACUCCAUGCAAUACCAAUAAUAAUUAUUUAUAGCCUACUAUGCAAGGAAAUUAGUCCAGGAAAACUGACUGAUUAUAACGUAGCACAGUCACCCCAAGGGAGAAGUUGAGUGCAAUGUGCAAGGAGCAAGACAUCACACCAUUUUCUUGUCUUGUAUUAUAAACUUUACUGCAAGUAGCAUUCUGGUAUUUUGUAUUGAAUGUCUCGGUUCCCCUGUAACAAAUACCUAUUGUAUUCCUGCUGAAUUUCAUUGAAUUUACUCCUGAGUUAUACUUAAGGUCUGAGGCAGAUCCACAUUGCUGCUUUCUGUAUAAAUCCCUGAGCUGCUUAUUCACAAGGAUGUGCAGCUUCGCAAAAGAAUGAGUUGAGAGAAUGAGCUGGGUGGCAGACUGUUAGUUCUGAUGGUAUUACCAUAGCAUCCGGAGAAGCUAAAUGCAGUGCUAACUCAAGGUACAAGAAAGCUUCAGCCCUUGAAAAGAGCUAACAAAGACAAUGCACAGAAAGUGGGAGGAAGCAAAGAGGCACAGAGAAGAGAAGCGGCUGUGCAGUGUCACACAGCAGGCAACCCGGGGGGGGCAGGAGCAGGGCCCCGUCUCUUAGCACUUUCCAGCUUCACACUGCCUUUUGGUCCUUUCUGCAUGUGGACCUCAUGCAUCUUCAAUUGAAAGCACAACCCAAAAAUAGAAGAUCUUUUUUUGUCAAGAGAACUCGUGCUCUGCGAGUUGUGAAAACAGAUUAUUUCCCAUGAUUAAUACCUGCCUCCUCUCUGAAGACAUCCAUCUCUGCGUGGAUCGGAUUCUAGUAAAGCAAAGCUCACCUCUUAGGAAAGAAAGCUUUCCGUUUUCUUUCUGCUAACAUUUCUCCUCACCAUUGUCCCUGCAAUCCUUUUAUGAUGCAGGCCCAACAUAACUCACAGUACUUCCCAUUAUUGUGUGCCACGAGUGUGAGCAGAGCCCUUGUUGUGGUAGAUAGCAGCCUUCAGACACCCCAUGCUUCCUGUUCAACUGGAGCCAAUCGCACACUGCUUGGUACUGAAACUAAGUCCCUAAUUAAUUUAUACACAAGGAGGUCAUUGUAACGAUAACGUAAUGGAGAUCAGUCCAUUAGCAAAAAGUGUGGAUAAAUUAUUUUCUUUUAAUGCUUCCAUCAACGUUAAGACCCAUUAAUCAUAUUUUAAGAAAACAACUUUAAACUUACACGCUAUUUGUAGGCAUUUCUGAUGGGACACCCAGCCAGCCCUGCUGUUCAGCAAGGAAAUUUCUGCCAUUCACUGAGCAGAACUGGAUCUUUACCACACAGAAGAUGGCACAACUGGUCCGACUCCACUGAUAUUCUCUUUAUAACGUGAGAAAGUAGCAGUUUUAACAAAAAGGAAAUCAAGAUUAAAUGCAACAUAUUCUGAAGGAGGAAAAAAUUCCUAGCAGCAGCUGAAAGGGAAGUGGAAUUCAUCAAUGCCUCUUUCAUCUUUAUCAAAUUACUAUUCAGUGCAGUUACAUUUAUUAAUAACAACAGCCCUUAAACCACAUUGUGAAAACCCAUUAGCAAGAAAUGCUUUAAAAUCUACAACAGGCUGAAACAGAAGGUUUAUCAAAGGCUGAAACAAUUCAACAGUAUAAGCAGAGUGGGCAUUUUUAUGGGCUGCUGAGCGUGCCAGAGCAUCACUGUGACAUAUUCACAAGUGGGCUGUUUGUGCUGUGUAACUAAAACUUGCUCUUGAAUUCAGUAACCCACAUAACCAAGAGGUAAUGCAAACUCAUGCUGUGCUUUGGAUUUUUUCCCCUCACUCCAUACAUACCUAUUGCUGCUGGCAGUUGCAGAGCUGUCAGUGCAGCACUGAGCGGGCAGUCCCACAGCUCUCACUGCUCACAGAGGGGAUGCACAGUGACUUCCCCAUAACAAACCCUGAUGAGAAGAACCUUUGGAGAGGUCAUAACUAUUCCCAUGAGAGUCAGGACCAGCCUGGAGCCAACCACCGUAUCACCCUUUAAUUUUUCAACACAGUUUACCCUGGAAGUUUACAUAUUCCCUUCUCAUUCCCUUACUCGGUUUUUUAAGAGCAGGCAGUUUGAAUGUCAAUCACUGCUGAGCAAUCUCUGAGAGGGUAUGAGAUACGGAGGUGAAAUCCAGAGGAGGGAUUCUGUCAUCAUCCUCACAGCAGAAGCUGCCAGUCAUCCCCAUUGUGCACAUCCUGCACCACUGGAGAUGUGUACACAUCCCAGGGGGGCUGUUACAGAAGGGCCGCUGCCUUGCCCUGCUCUCAGUCGCUUCCAGUUUGCAGCAGAGAACAAUAAUGGCACAGACAGCGCAGCAUUGCUGUGUGCUCAUUCCGCAGCAGUGACUGUAUCUGUCACAGCCUCCUGCUGCAUCAGGGCAACGAUGUUUCUGAAGGCAUUUUCUUUGUUGCUGAACAAGGCAAAGCCUGAGUCGGGGAAUACAGGAGAGGCGAAGGGACAGAGCGAGGGAUGCGACUGCAGCUGGGUACAAGUGGACAGCAGUGCUUGCAGAUCAGCCCAUGCACAUUCUCCUUCCAGAUCUGAUAAUUCCCUGAUUCUGUAAAAACACACCCAAGGCAGGGCUCACGAGGUGCCUGAGGCAGAUAUGCAGACUGCAGCUAAAUGCAUCCCACUUCUCUGGAGGGAAAAGUCCCUUCACACCCAUAAGCUGUACACGUAUCUCACCCCAGCAGGAUGGGCAGACUGUGCCACCUCCAACCACUCUCCGGCUCCAUCCGUCCCCACAGUGUGUUCUACUUAGGAGAGCAAAAGGGUGGCAGAACAAAUCCGUGGCAGGAUGUAUCUUCUGUAAUCGCACACAACUCAGCUUGUUAAAUUGACUGGUUUCUGUCCCAGCUGAGGUUGUAACUCCAUGAUUACUUUUGACCGAGCACAGCUAGAAAACACGUAAUUACAUGGGCCAAAGCACAGAGAAUGGUGCCCACUGCUUUGCUGGUCAAGUGCAGCACAUGAGGGGAAUAGAACCGCUUGGAAAUGAAGUGUACAUUCACACCUCACCACAUCCUCACUGCAGAGUUUACGGCUUUCAGGCUUGGGCAGCAUGAAAGGCAAAAAUUUCCCAGGAGCAGUGAUGGAUUGCGUGGCAUGAAAAAUCACAAAUGGUCAGUGCUGGGGAUGGGGGUUCCACCAUCCAGCCAGAUGCAAGCAGUCCAGGUGAGCACUGGUGAGACAGCACUUGGCAUCUCGCAGGAACGAUCCUUCUGGGCUGUAAUCCCCCCUCUCCUGGUGCAUUUUCUGUUUUCUCUGUUGUUGACCUGCAGUGAUGGAGGAAAGGGGUUGGACAUAGAUGGUGCUCUGAGCAGGAGUGGGGUCUGCUGGAGAGGGAACAGCUGUGGGGCUGGGAGGGAAACAGAGACGGGAAUGAGACAGAUACAUUUCCCCUCUGGGAGGAUGGGCUCAGGCAGCCUGAGGAAAAUAAGGCUAAAAUGAAAGGGAGGAAACCAGAGAAGAGAAGAUGGAACAAGGGAGAUCACAGAGAACAACAGGAAGCAGUGCUGAGACGACAGACAUGAAGGCUGGGCUUGUGGGAGAAAAACAAACAGAGUAAAAAAAAAAAUCAGGAAUAUUGUGCAAAAGACAGAAAGAAUUUUUUAAAAAGUCCUAUAAAAGUGCCAACUACCCAGCUGCUGUAAGUAAAACUCCAGUACACUUACGUCAACACCACACCACAGAUCAGCACCAGGGGAGGAGGUCUGGGGUUGUUUUUUAAUUGCUUGGAAAGGCUUCCAGUGAUGCAGAACGUGAACUCCAGCUUCCACUGAUGUCAAAGGGAUUUAGAGGUGCUCACAGUCUCACAAAACCAAGACCCAACUUGUCAAAGUGCAUGAGACAAGAUGCCGCAUUCAUCCCUCGAGAAGAGCCAGCUUUGCACAUUGCCUGACCUGCACCUCGAUGGCACACGCGUGGCAGGGACACGAGGACACAGGGACACAGCCCAGCUCUGCCCACAACACACCAGGCUUUUGCUUUGCUCUCCCUGAUGAGCAGCGAGGUCCUUGGUUUGCACAGCCAGGCGUGAGUAGGGGUAAGAGGCAUCCGCUUUGCUGGUUGAAGUGAAAUGUUUGGCUUAUUGGCACAGCUUGUUUAGAUUGGCUCCUAGCACUCAGUCGAUGUUAUUAGAGAAAGCAAUCAAAAUGCAUUAAAUACUAGGAACUACAUUAAAACAACAUGGAGCAUGCAACACAAACCAAGAAAAGCAAGGGGCUGAGUAUGGAGUCUGCCAUCCCCUCAGUCAUGAGUGUGAAUAUGGUGGAGCCAUGUCACAGCGACGUUUGGAGAGGUAGAGCUGGUGAGUUCUUGCAUGCUGCAACACGGAAGAUUUCAUCUCCUUUUCCUCUCCAAACCACAGCUUCUAGAAAGACUUUGAAAUGCUGCAGUCAGCUCCUACGCCUCCCUGCUGAGCUCCUUCCAGACUGAGCUCUUAAAUUUGCUAUGUUUUUGCCAAGACCUAAUUUUCUUUUGACCACAUAUUAAAGGGCAGAUUCCCAUGCCACAGGGAGGGACUGAGAAGUCAUAACGGACACAUCCGUCACCUGUUUGGCCAGAGAUAACUGCUCUACCCCACUUCUGCAGCUCCAUCAGACUUCUCAGUUUCUUCUUUGGCCUUGAGAUAGGUCUCCAGGGGCUCUGGGAUCCCUAACUUAUCUGUUUUGUUAACUGAUUUCAGCCACAGCCAGAUCCUCGCUUUUCUACUAUACUAUGAAAAUCACAACUGCAUGUUACACCUGGUUGAACAGCAAGGUGAUUAUUGUAAAGCCUGGAUUUCCCAAGGGAAUAAAGCUGUACAUGGAGCACCGUGUGAGCCGAAUGCGUGCAAGUAGUUCUUGAUCGUGUCAGGCUAUUUCAAGGAGACAGAGAGGAGGAUUUCUCAGAGCCCUGAAGGUCCCAGACAGACGCUGCUGAUGACAGAUGGAGGACAUGGACACCAUUAGCAUCCCCUGAGGAAAAGACAGCAGCGGAUGCUCCCUCUACACCAGACAGCAGAGAUGCCACAGAGGUGAGCGCUGUUCACUCAACUCGCUGAUCAUGAAAUUACUCAUUAAUAAUCUCUUUGCGUGAUCGCUUUCUAAUGCCACUCCCCUUCCCCAUCUGCUUGGGGCUGCACCCUGCACAGCUGUCCGCUAACCACCUUCCUCACCCAGCUGCCCAUCACCUCCAGGGCCUCCAGCAGUGAGCCAUCCACGUGUUGCUGCAGCAGCGUAGCAGGGAAACCGGAGAGAGGAUCAACACACGAGGCGCUGGGAGCUGCAGCGGGGCAACAGCUGUCCCUCAGCACAUCCAUUGUUCUUGUGCAGAGAAGCAGCUUUAAGAAAGUGGUGUAAAUUACAGGAACUGGAUCACUGGCUUGAACAAUGUCAGCACGUCCCUUCGAGGGCAUUCACUCCCCCCACGCCAUGAAACGACAAGUUAUUAUUUAACAGCAGACCUCACACAGAGGAAUGUUUUUCUGUAUUCAUGACCUCUAACAAGUAUAGCAAUUGUUUACUAUACUCUGAGUGAUCCAGAAGGAGCUAUAAUGUGAUAAUUAUAGAGAAACCUUCCUAAAAAUAUAUUUCUGAUGCAUCAGCAAAAACUCGGCAGGCCCCUCCAGCUGGCACUGCACAUAUGAGUUAAGCCCAAUUUGAGAAUCAGAUCAUGCACUACAUUUCGUGCAGCUGUGCAGACUCCAACGAGAAGCUCUGGAGCAGAUGUCUUGUAGCAAUGGAGGGCAGGGCAUGAAGAAGCAGAGAAGCAGAAGAGACCAAAGCCACGUUUCUUGACUGAGUGGUCAGUGACAUAGGAAAGCAUCAGUUCCAUUUUCAAGUUGGAUAAACUGAGGCUCUGGAAAUCAGAACACCGGCAUUUUCUAAGCUGCUCUCUGACUGGUUGGUGUCUGAUGUUAGAGGUCCAGCUCGACUCCAGGCUGCGCCUGCUUCCCCACAACUACUGAGCCUCUGCAUUUUUCAUGAAGGGAUACAAUACAUUACAGUGAUUUUUUGUUCCGACACGCUGCAUUUGUACACCUGCUCCAUGCUCAGCACUUCCAAACCCCAGCAACGCUCUUUGAAGAAACACCCAGAAAGGCCUCAAGAUGUUCCUGCCUUGCAGCCAAGCCACUGAAAAGCCAACCUGCUGCUGCUGCCCAGAGCCCUGAGGCUGACCUGACCCCUCUGCUGCUGUUUCCGCUGAUCAGACUGUGAAGGGAAGCCAGCGCACAGGUGUUUGUUUUCUUUGCCCAGCACAGCACUUCCCUGAAGACAAGCUGGGACUUCACAGUCUCUGUAGCUCCUUGGCAGCAUCUGCAGUCUUCUGUGCCUCAGUUUCCUCACCUACAGAAAGGCCCACAUGACAAACCCUGAACCCAGGGCUGUGUUAAAGUUUGGAAAACACACAGCACCUUGAAAGAGGGCUUCUAUGGAAGCACAAACAGUCCUUUAUUGCUUCAAUUAAAAAGAGCGUGUUUUACAAUCCACGGUCUGUUUAUACUUGCACUUCUUAUGGAUAUCUCUGAAAAGAACCCAGCCUCAGCAGCUCAUGGAUUUGGCACAGCACGCCAAAUAAUAAGCAGGCUCACCAACCCUUCUACAACACACAGUGCUUCUGUGUAACUUUGCAGGCUGUGUUUGACUUGCCUGAACUUGAACAGUCACCACUGAUUGAUUGGCUUCUAAAAAUACACAUAUGCCAUGGUUCGGAGUCCAGAGAGCUUCUGUUGAUUUAGAUGGAGACCUUGCUGGGAAGAGGCUAAGACAGACACCUGACACCAGGGUGCUGCUGUGCCGGCCACUUGCUGCCAACUGCACAGGGUGCUCUGAAUGCAGGGCUCCACCACGCUCAGCAGCCCUCCAUACCUCAGAGUGGGGAAAAAAGCAGAAAGAAAGCAGCCCUAUGGAUCCCUUCCCUUCCUGCAACUCCAUUUCCAGGCUGCCCUGCAGCUGUUGGUGAUAAGCAGAGUGAACCUGCACAUAUCCUGCCAGAGGGCUGAGCUCAGGUGCUGAGCACCUGUGGCUCCCAGCAGUCAGGGGGGUGCUCAGUGCCCUGCUGAGCUGGGGGGGCUCCCAGCAGGGAUGUGACUCCUGCAAGGGAGAUGCAUUGCACUGUACCCUGGAGGAGGCUGCAAGCACAUGAUUAUUGCAACAGAAGCCGCUAGGAGAAAAAACAGAUUACCAUUUCCAUUGGAGGUAAUAGGUGCCAUGUUGAUUUAUAAACCUGUCACUGCUGGCCAUUAAGCAAACGCUGUUGCAGCUCCUAGAUCCCAUUCCGGAGCACACUGAGUAAGCUGCAGUCUCUGGCACAAUGUCUUGGAGAGCUCCACUGUAGGGCAUAGGGCCACAGCUUCUCCCUGUAGUGACCAUGAUGUUAGCACUCCCAGUUACAUGCACCCACAUCGCUACAGCUGAAGCUUCAAAAAACAUUUUGGAAAGGGAAGGAGGUGUGGGGCUGCAGGGAGCCAUGGCACAGAGCAGAGGAGCUCAAGCAGCUGAAGCUUGCCACAGGGAAACUGCAGAAAGUCAGGAGCAAAGCAAAGCAGUGUCUGUGCAUUCUGGGUGUGAUGCACUGACAGCAGCAUGCUAGGCACUGGUGAGGAACGCAGCAACACCAGGUUUGCUAAAGAAGUGAAACUGAGACAGUUUCCAGCACUGUGCCCAUGCUUGCAGGUCUCAGGGCCACUCUGCUCACUUACCUGCUGACAUCGGAGCUAACAAAAGACAAAGCAGAGUGCAGUCAAAUAUAUACACUGGAUGUUGCCAUGCUACUGAAUGCAGCUUAGCACAGCAGGACUUUUUCUAAAUGAUGUAUUGUAGCUGAGCUAAAACCUAAAUAAUAAUGCUUACUUUGGCUCUCUGGAAGAUCACAGCUAGACAGCAGCCUGUGGAAUACCACGGCUAGUGGAAGAAAUCAUCGGUAUUCUAGGAGCACAUGGGACUGGAGAUGAUCACUGCAGCCAGACUCCUCUUUCACAGCAUCACAUGCCAGCUCAUUUGUGUGUGGGUUAUGCAAUGGAACCCGGCCCUGCUCUCCUGAUGCAACGUCUUGCAGAAGCUGGUUGCUCCAAGACUCAGAACCCUCAUUUCCAGCAAACCAGUGCCCUCUCUUCAGCUCUGCCACACCGAACAUCCCACAUGGUCACUUCUGUGUCACUCACUGUCCCAGUCAUCUUCUGAGUUCUGCUUUGGAUUCCUCCUUCCCAAAGACAGCUGAUGGGAAUUGGCUGUGACUUUCCAGAUGGAGGCUGAGCAGUUCCUUGUAUGGUGGCAGAAGUGCUUCCCCAUCUUUACUGGAAAUAUCCUGCCUAAUAAACCCGAUGAUCUCACUUGGCUUUUGUGUUCAGUUUUAAAAGAGGUAUAAAAGCAGGCUCUCCAAUAUUUCACUUCAUUUUAUUUUAGUGUUUGUUAUCUGGAAAAAAAGAGGGUAGUUAAACUGCCUUUUUAAUUAAAUUCCUUUAAAUCUCUGAAAACAAGGAAGAAAGAAAGAUAGUAAACAAAGUAAGACAGAAGAAUUACCAUGUGUAUGAGCAGAGGUAUUUUUUCCCGUAACACAUUGAUAUAUAAAUCUCUCUUUCAAAAACUUGCAG